AGCGAACGCUGGCGGCAGGCCUAACACAUGCAAGUCGAGCGCCCCGCUAGGGGAGCGGCAGACGCGAGAGUAACACGUGGGAACGUGCCCUUUGGUUCGGAACAACCCAGGGAAACUUGGGCCAAUACCGGAUAAGCCCUAACGGGGAAAGAUUUAUAGCCGAAGGAUCGGCCCGCGUCUGAUUAGCUAGUUGGUGGGGUAAUGGCCCACCAAGGCGACGAUCAGUAGGUGGUCUGAGAGGAUGAUCAGCCUCACUGGGACUGAGACACGGCCCAGACUCCUACGGGAGGCAGCAGUGGGGAAUAUUGGACAAUGGGCGCAAGCCUGAUCCAGCCAUGCCGCGUGGGUGAUGAAGGCCCUAGGGUUGUAAAGCCCUUUCGGCGGGGAAGAUAAUGACGGUACCCGCAGAAGAAGCCCCGGCUAACUUCGUGCCAGCAGCCGCCGUAAGAC
rnacentral:rRNA from 1 species